UACGAAGGGAGCUAGCGUUGUUCGGAAUCACUGGGCGUAAAGCGCACGUAGGCGGAUGUGUCAGUCAGGGGUGAAAUCCUGGAGCUCAACUCCAGAACUGCCUUUGAUACUGGCGAUCUUGAGUUCGGGAGAGGUGAGUGGAACUUCGAGUGUAGAGGUGAAAUGCGCAGAUAUCAUGAGGAAGACCAGUGGCGAAGGCGGGUCUCUGGACAGUUCCUGACACUGAGGCACGAAGGCCAGGGGAGCAAACGGG
rnacentral:rRNA from 1 species